UGCAGUCGAGCGACAGACGAGGAGCUUGCUCCUCUGACGUUAGCGGCGGACGGGUGAGUAACACGUGGAUAACCUACCUAUAAGACUGGGAUAACUUCGGGAAACCGGAGCUAAUACCGGAUAAUAUAUUGAACCGCAUGGUUCAAUAGUGAAAGACGGUUUUGCUGUCACUUAUAGAUGGAUCCGCGCCGCAUUAGCUAGUUGGUAAGGUAACGGCUUACCAAGGCAACGAUGCGUAGCCGACCUGAGAGGGUGAUCGGCCACACUGGAACUGAGACACGGUCCAGACUCCUACGGGAGGCAGCAGUAGGGAAUCUUCCGCAAUGGGCGAAAGCCUGACGGAGCAACGCCGCGUGAGUGAUGAAGGUCUUCGGAUCGUAAAACUCUGUUAUUAGGGAAGAACAAAUGUGUAAGUAACUAUGCACGUCUUGACGGUACCUAAUCAGAAAGCCACGGCUAACUACGUGCCAGCAGCCGCGGUAAUACGUAGGUGGCAAGCGUUAUCCGGAAUUAUUGGGCGUAAAGCGCGCGUAGGCGGUUUUUUAAGUCUGAUGUGAAAGCCCACGGCUCAACCGUGGAGGGUCAUUGGAAACUGGAAAACUUGAGUGCAGAAGAGGAAAGUGGAAUUCCAUGUGUAGCGGUGAAAUGCGCAGAGAUAUGGAGGAACACCAGUGGCGAAGGCGACUUUCUGGUCUGUAACUGACGCUGAUGUGCGAAAGCGUGGGGAUCAAACAGGAUUAGAUACCCUGGUAGUCCACGCCGUAAACGAUGAGUGCUAAGUGUUAGGGGGUUUCCGCCCCUUAGUGCUGCAGCUAACGCAUUAAGCACUCCGCCUGGGGAGUACGACCGCAAGGUUGAAACUCAAAGGAAUUGACGGGGACCCGCACAAGCGGUGGAGCAUGUGGUUUAAUUCGAAGCAACGCGAAGAACCUUACCAAAUCUUGACAUCCUCUGACCCCUCUAGAGAUAGAGUUUUCCCCUUCGGGGGACAGAGUGACAGGUGGUGCAUGGUUGUCGUCAGCUCGUGUCGUGAGAUGUUGGGUUAAGUCCCGCAACGAGCGCAACCCUUAAGCUUAGUUGCCAUCAUUAAGUUGGGCACUCUAAGUUGACUGCCGGUGACAAACCGGAAGGAAGGUGGGGAUGACGUCAAAUCAUCAUGCCCCUUAUGAUUUGGGCUACACACGUGCUACAAUGGACAAUACAAAGG
rnacentral:rRNA from 1 species